rnacentral:rRNA from 1 species
GGCGAACGGGUGAGUAACGCGUGAGAAACCUGCCUUCAACAGGGGGAUAACACUCCCAACGGGGUGCUAAUACCGCAUGAGACCACGGGACUGCAUGGUCCUGAGGUCAAAGGUGGCCUCUACUUGUAAGCUACCGGUUGAAGAUGGUCUCGCGUCCCAUUAGCUAGUUGGCGGGGUAACGGCCCACCAAGGCGACGAUGGGUAGCUGAUCUGAGAGGAUGGUCAGCCACACUGGGACUGAGAUACGGCCCAGACUCCUACGGGAGGCAGCAGUCGAGAGGCUUCGGCAAUGGGGGAAACCCUGACCGAGCGACGCCGCGUGCAGGAUGAAGGCCCUUGGGUUGUAAACUGCUUUUGUUGGGGAAGAAAUGCGAUCAGGUGAACAAUCUGGUCGUUUGACGGUACCCGACGAAUAAGCUCCGGCUAACUCCGUGCCAGCCGCCGCGG